AUACAAAACCAAGUGAAAUCUGGACUCUGAAAGUGUAAUUUGGUUGAAAUUCAACCGCCUCAGUCUCUACCCUUUUCUCUAUAAAUACACUGAUUCUAAAGGUUUUGGAGUUUGUCUCUUUUCAUUCACCGCAUUGUUUCAGAGUUUCGGAAAAACAGAAUCCAUCCAUCAACGGGAAGGCGAGAGGGCGAUUGUGAUUCAGUUCCCCGGUGAUCGAUCCA
rnacentral:misc_RNA from 1 species